UGAUUACCUUUUAUUUAAAAACUAUAAAACAUGGUUCGUCAGUGCCAAAUUUGUAAGAAAUUGGACUAUUUAAGUCCUGGAACAACAUUCCACAGAUUAUGCUGCCAAAGUUUCCUGAAUACAAUUCCGACCACUCUGUAUAUCAAGAUAUCCCCCAUUACGUACUAGUUUUUCUUAAUAAUUUUCUAUACAUUUUCCAACGCCAAGAUGUACCAAGCGCAUACAAAUACAUCAAGCUUCAAACAAGCUUGCACGUUGACAGUAAUACCUACAGUAAUAUUGUAUUAUAUUAAUGUAAUAUUUUUGAACCAAUGUUCAAUAUUACUGUAGUAAUACUGUUUAUACUCAUGCCUUUUAUAUUUGUUUGAAUUUGGUGCAUAUUUCCAUUGAAUAAAGUAUAGUCACCAUUACCAUUAUUAUACUUACUCUAUAAUAAAGACAGUAACGAGUUAAA